GUCUCUUGUUUAUUUGGAAAAAAAAUUGAAAUACACUGAAGGAAAUUGAAAGAACCGAAGGAAAUUGAAACCCCCCUUCUUUCUAUCCCCAAUUCGUAACACUGUGAGAGUGUGACCUCUGAAGGAAAUAGAAAUGGCAAAACCCUAGCCCCUCAUUACCGCCGCCGUCCCAAGCUCCUCAGCGCGGUCGCUUCUUCCUCUUUCCUGUUUUGCAAAACCCAGAAAGCUCAGCACAUCUCUUCAUCUUCGUUAGCUUCUCUGUUUGUCAAAAGUUAGUGGCCUCCGCUCUUGGUGUACUGCCCUCGAUAAGAUCUCUCCUUACACCUCCGCCGUCGGCAUCGUCGUCUCCAUCGGUGUCUCAGUUCUCGGUGUUGCUUGGGGGAUUUACAUAACUAGUAGCAGCUUGAUCGAUAUUGCAAUCAAGACUCCCCGAAUCACUUGCACGAAUCUCAUUAGGAUAAUUUUUUCGUACUGGUAAAGACAACAGGAGUUGAGUAGUUGCUGCGGCACCGUUUAUAACAACUUCAUAUGGCAUCUUAAAAUGAAGGAACUAAGCAGAGGACAUGAUGUGAAGAAAAUAUGUUCUAUACAAAUAUAAGAUGGGAUGGGUCUUCUAAUGAUUUUGGUUAUCUAAAUGUAUUAUUUUGAUGUGUUCUUUACAUUUUGAUAAGAGACUUUAUCCGAUAUUACAUGUAAUGGAUAAAUUACACCCUAUUUUGAUUAGUGUUGUAAUGGAUAUCUAGUUUUUAAUGAAACUUUUAUGAUUUACAUUUAUUGAA